rnacentral:rRNA from 1 species
UACGUAGGGGGCAAGCGUUGUCCGGAUUUAUUGGGCGUAAAGAGCGUGUAGGCGGCCAGGUAGGUCUGCUGUGAAAACUCGAGGCUUAACCUCGAGCUGUCGGCGGAAACCAUCUGGCUAGAGUCCGGAAGAGGAGAAUGGAAUUCCUGGUGUAGCGGUGAAAUGCGCAGAUAUCAGGAGGAACACCAGUGGCGAAGGCGACUUCCUGGCCUGUUCUUGACGCUGAGGCGCGAAAGCUAGGGGGAGCAAACGGG